rnacentral:rRNA from 1 species
GACGUAGGGGGCGAGCGUUGUCCGGAUUCAUUGGGCGUAAAGCGCGCGCAGGCGGCCCGGUAAGUCGGAUGUGAAAUCCCACGGCUCAACCGUGGAACUGCAUUCGAUACUGUCGGGCUAGAGGCAGGUAGGGGAGAUCGGAAUUCCUGGUGUAGCGGUGAAAUGCGCAGAUAUCAGGAGGAACACCGGUGGCGAAGGCGGAUCUCUGGGCCUGUCCUGACGCUCGGGCGCGAAGGCCAGGGGAGCAAACGGG